GUUUAUGGAUGAGCAAAGAAAGUGGUUUCUUGAGAUGGAAUGUGCUCCUGGUGAAGAUGCUAUGAA
rnacentral:pre_miRNA from 1 species